rnacentral:rRNA from 1 species
CCUACGGGCGGCUGCAGUGGGGAAUAUUGGACAAUGGGGGGAACCCUGAUCCAGCCAUGCCGCGUGUGUGAAGAAGGCCCUCGGGUUGUAAAGCACUUUCAGUGAGGAAGAACGCCUGGUGGUUAAUACCCAUCAGGAAAGACAUCACUCACAGAAGAAGCACCGGCUAACUCCGUGCCAGCAGCCGCGGUAAUACGGAGGGUGCGAGCGUUAAUCGGAAUUACUGGGCGUAAAGCGCGCGUAGGUGGCUUGAUAAGCCGGUUGUGAAAGCCCCGGGCUCAACCUGGGAACGGCAUCCGGGACGGUCAAGCGAGAGUGGAGGAGAGGAGGGUAGAGGGCCCGGGGUAGCGGUGAAUUGCGGAGAGAUCGGGAGGAAUACCAGUGGCGAAGGGGGCCUUCAGGAGUGACACUGACACGGAGGUGCGAAUGCGUGGGUAGCAAACAGGGUCAGAUACCCUGGUAGUC